CGGGCUGUGGCGCAGCCUGGUAGCGCAUCUGCUUCGGGAGCAGGGGGUCGGAGGUUCGAAUCCUCUCAGCCCGACCA
rnacentral:tRNA from 1 species